AGUGGCGGACGGGUGAGUAACGCGUGGGUAACCUGCCUCAUACAGGGGGAUAACAGUUAGAAAUGACUGCUAAUACCGCAUAAGACCACGGAGCCGCAUGGCUCAGUGGGAAAAACUCCGGUGGUGUGAGAUGGACCCGCGUUUGAUUAGCUAGUUGGUGGGGUAACGGCCUACCAAGGCGACGAUCAAUAGCCGACCUGAGAGGGUGACCGGCCACAUUGGGACUGAGACACGGCCCAA
rnacentral:rRNA from 1 species